UGGGGUCCUGCACAGAUGGGACGUGGCUU
rnacentral:piRNA from 1 species